rnacentral:rRNA from 1 species
UACAGGGGGGGCAAGCGUUGUUCGGAAUUACUGGGCGUAAAGGGUCUGUAGGCGGCCAACUAAGUCAGACGUGAAAUCCCUCAGCUUAACUGGGGAACUGCGUCUGAUACUGGAUGGCUUGAGUGUGGGAGAGGAAUGCGGAAUUCCAGGUGUAGCGGUGAAAUGCGUAGAUAUCUGGAGGAACACCGGUGGCGAAGGCGGCAUUCUGGACCAUAACUGACACUGAGAGACGAAAGCCAGGGGAGCAAACGGG